UACGUAGGUGGCAAGCGUUAUCCGGAUUUAUUGGGUGUAAAGGGCGUGUAGGCGGGAGCGCAAGUCAGAUGUGAAAACUCAGGGCUCAACCGUGAGCCUGCAUUUGAAACUGUGUUUCUUGAGUGCUGGAGAGGCAAUCGGAAUUCCGUGUGUAGCGGUGAAAUGCGUAGAUAUACGGAGGAACACCAGUGGCGAAGGCGGAUUGCUGGACAGUAACUGACGCUGAGGCGCGAAAGCGUGGGGAGCAAACAGG
rnacentral:rRNA from 1 species